rnacentral:rRNA from 1 species
GGGGGAAUUUUGGUCAAUGGGCGCAAGCCUGAACCAGCCACGCCGCGUGAGUGAUGAAGGCCUUCGGGUUGUAAAGCUCUGUGGGGAGGGAAGAAAACGGCGCAUAAGAAACGAUGCGUCCUUGACGGUACCUCCUUAGCAAGCACCGGCUAACUCUGUGCCAGCAGCCGCGGUAAUACAGAGGGUGCGAACGUUGCUCGGAAUUACUGGGCGUAAAGCGCGUGUAGGCGGGACCGUAAGUCAGAUGUGAAAGCCCUGGGCUCAACUCAGGAACUGCAUCUGAAACUGCGGACCUUGAGUACUGGAGAGGGCGGCGGAAUUCCUGGUGUAGAGGUGAAAUUCGUAGAUAUCAGGAGGAACACCGGUGGCGAAGGCGGCCGCCUGGACAGUAACUGACGCUGAGACGCGAAAGCGUGGGGAGCAAACAGGAUUAGAUACCCUGGUAGUCCACGCCGUAAACGAUGGGUGCUAGGUGUCUCGGGUAUUGACCCCUGAGGUGCCGUAGCUAACGCGUUAAGCACCCCGCCUGGGAAGUACGGUCGCAAGACUA